rnacentral:rRNA from 1 species
CAGGUGCUGCAUGGCCGUCGUCAGCUCGUGCCCGUGAGGUGUUGGGUUAAGUCCCGCAACGAGCGCAACCCCCGCCGUUAGUUGCCAGCGGUUCGGCCGGGCACUCUAACGGGACUGCCCGCGAAAGCGGGAGGAAGGAGGGGACGACGUCUGGUCAGCAUGGCCCUUACGGCCUGGGCGACACACGUGCUACAAUGCCCACUACAAAGCGAUGCCACCCGGCAACGGGGAGCUAAUCGACAAAAAGGUGGGCCCAGUUCGGAUUGGGGUCUGCAACCCGACCCCAUGAAGCCGGAAUCGCUAGUAAUCGCGGAUCAGCCAUGCCGCGGUGAAUACGGUUCCCGGGCCUU